UCAUCCAUACGCAGAACCUGGUGAAGCACUGGAGGCAGAAAGAAGUAGUGAGGUGGAGAGGCAACUGAAACAAAGUUGGCACAGCAACUGCUCCAACCCUGUGUCUUUCUUCAUGGCUUCCCAGGAGUUCGAGGUUGAAACAAUUGUUGACAAAAGACAAGACAAAAAUGGGAAUACAAUGUAUUUGGUUCGGUGGAAAGGUUAUGACAAACAGGAUGACACUUGGGAACCAGAACAUCACCUCAUGAACUGUGAGAAAUGUAUACAUGAUUUUAAUAGACGACAGACUGAGAAACAGAAAAAACUAGAAUGGACCAGGACAAGUAGAAUUUGUUCAAACAAUGCCAGAAGAAGAACUUCCAGAUCUACCAAAGUGGACUAUACUAAGAGCUCUCCUAAAAUGCUAGUGACUGGCAAGCAACCCGGAUUCAAAAGCAGCCAGUUAUUUGCUGCCAGCAAGAAUGUUAGGAGAAAGACAGCUUCACUUCUCACUGAUGCAAAGGAUAUGAGUUAAUAAAUUCAACUCUCAAGACAUUUGCCCCUGACAGUCCUGUUGACGACAAGACAACUAUGAGCGGCUUUCAGGAACUCAAGAAACUGGACCCUCUUGCAGUAGAUCAGCAGAACAUGGUGGACUUCAAGGUGACAGAAGGGAAAUCAGUCAGGGACCCUUUGUCAGGUCCCAGUGCAGAACAGGCUGCAACAGAGGACAAGACCCUGCUACAGCCACUAAUGUCUCAGAUGUCUGGCUCAGUUACUGCUUCCAUGGCCACAGACUCAGCUCCCCAAAAAGCUAUAGUGGUAUUAAUAUAGCCAUUAGCAGCCAAAAGACAUGUUACUGAUGAUGGCAGAGACCAGUCUUUUGUCAAGAAAAUGUAUGCCACCAUAAGGCUAACAGAGAGUGCCAGCACAUACAGAGACAUUGUAGUGAAGAAAGAGGCUGGAUUCACCCAGAUAUUGCUAUCAACCAGAUCGACAGAAAAAAAUGCACUGAAUACAGAAGUAAUUAAAGAAAUGGUGAAUGCUCUGAAUAGGGCUGCUGCAGAUGACAGCAAGCUUGUAUUGUUCAGUGCAGCUGGAAAUGUCUUUUGCUGUGGUCUUGAUUUUGUGUAUUUUGUGAAGCAUUUAAGGAAUGACAGAAACAGAGCAAGCUUUGAAAUGGUGAACACCAUCAAGAACUUUGUGAAUACUUUUAUUCAGUUUAAAAAGGCUAUUGUUGUAUCAGUCAACGGCCCUGCCAUUGGACUUGGUGCUUCCAUGUUGCCACUUUGCGAUCUAGUGUGGGCAACUGAAAAGGCGUGGUUCCAAACCCCUUAUAUGACCUUUGGACAGAGUCCAGAUGCAUGCUCUACUGUUACAUUUCCAAAAAUCAUGGGUGAAGCAUCUGCCAAUGAAAUGUUAAUUGCUGGGCGAAAACUAACAGCAUGGGAGGCGUGUGCCAAAGGCCUGGUCUCUCAAGUGUUCUUGACUGGAACUUUCACCGAGGAGGUUAUGAUUCAAAUUAGGAAGAUUUCCUUAUAUAAUGCAAUUGUGCUAGAAAAAUGUAAGACCCUUGUUCGCUGUAAUAUUAAGAUGGAGUUGGAAAAGGCCAAUGAGAGAGAGUGUCAGGGACCUGACUGA